rnacentral:rRNA from 1 species
UACAGAGGUCUCAAGCGUUGUUCGGAUUCAUUGGGCGUAAAGGGUGCGUAGGCGGCGCGGUAAGUCGGGUGUGAAAUCUCGGAGCUUAACUCCGAAACUGCAUUCGAUACUGCCGUGCUUGAGGACUGGAGAGGAGACUGGAAUUUACGGUGUAGCGGUGAAAUGCGUAGAUAUCAGGAGGAACACCGGUGGCGAAGGCGGGUCUCUGGGCCGAUACUGACGCUGGAGGAGCGAAAGCGUGGGGAGCGAACAGG